GGUAAAAUUAGGGUCUUAUAGUUUGUAUUAAUUUUAUAUAAUUUUUUUUACGCGAAUCAAUUAUAAAUUUAUAUUAAUCGGAUAGUAAAAAUUGCGAUUAUUCUGUACAUAUAUAAAUAUUCGAUAAUUUUUUAGGAUUAGUUAUUUAUUUUUAUAAAUUAUUUGCUCGGUUUGCUCCGGUCGGUUUGGGUCGUUUGGGUAAUUGGCUUCUCAGUGGUUAUCAGUUUAGGCUGCUGAAAUUUUUUUUUGUCUCUUGCUGUAUCUAAACACAAAUGAGUCAUAUCCAAUGACGAUUGAGCACCGCUUCUAUUUUAACAUUUUAUGAAAGCUGGUCAAAAUUAAUGAGCUGUUAAUAAUUAUUGGCAGUGGAAAAUCCUGUUGUUGUUUCCUGCAGCUCCUGUAUAUCCUGU